AGUGAACGCUGGCGGCGUGCCUAAUACAUGCAACUCGAACGGCGUGGCGCACGGGUGCGUAAUGUAUAGCUAAUCUGCCCUACACUAGUGGACCACAGUUGGAAACUGCUGCUCAGACUCUAUAGUGUAGGAUGAGGCUCUAUUGUAUCAGCUAGUUGGUGAGGUACUGGCUCACCAAGGCUAUGACGCAUAACUGGUCUGAGAGGAUGAUCAGUCACACGGGAACUGAGACACGGUCCAGACUCCUACGGGAGGAAGCAGUAGGGAAUAUUGCGCAAUGGGGGAAACCCUGAAGCAGCAACGUGGCGUGGAGGAUGACACUUUUCGGAGCGUAAACUCCUUUCGUUAGGGAAGCGGUACCUAACGAAUAAGCACCGGCUAACGCCGUGCCAGCAGCCGCGGUAAUUC
rnacentral:rRNA from 1 species